rnacentral:rRNA from 1 species
UACGUAGGGGCCUAGCGUUGUCCGGAUUUAUUGGGCGUAAAGAGCUCGUAGGCGGUUUGUCACGUCUGCUGUGAAAUCCCGAGGCUCAACCUCGGGCCUGCAGUGGGUACGGGCAGACUGGAGUGCGGUAGGGGAGAAUGGAAUUCCUGGUGUAGCGGUGGAAUGCGCAGAUAUCAGGAGGAACACCGAUGGCGAAGGCAGUUCUCUGGGACGGUACUGACGCUGAGACGCGAAAGCGUGGGGAGCGAACAGG